rnacentral:sRNA from 11 species
AGGUGCCACUCGAACACUACGGCUCUGAGCGCGCCGUCCACGCCCACCUGACGACUGCUCGCUACGUUUUGGUAGCC